rnacentral:rRNA from 1 species
AGCCGCGGUAAUACCCCGCUCCCCCGAGUGGUAGGGACUAUUACUGGGCCUAAAGCGCCCGUAGCCGGCCUGGUGUGUCCCUCGUUAAAUCCACAGGCCUAACCUGUGGGCUGCGGGGGGAUACUACCAGGCUUGGGGGGUGGGAGAGGCGCCCGGUAUUCCUGGGGGUAGGGGGUAAAAUCCACUGAUCCCGGGAGGACCUGCAGUGGCGAAGGC